rnacentral:rRNA from 1 species
UACGUAGGGUGCAGGCGUUAAUCGGAAUUACUGGGCGUAAAGCGUGCGCAGGCGGUUUGCUAAGACAGGUGUGAAAUCCCCGGGCUUAACCUGGGAACUGCGCUUGAAACCGAGUGGCUCGAGUCAGCUAGAGGUACACGGAACUUCCAGUGGAGCGGUGAAAUGUGUUGAUAUUGGAAGGAACACCGGAGGCGAAAGCGGUGUACUGGGGCUGGUCUGACGCUGAGGCACGAAAGCCAGGGGAGCGAACGGG